CUCCAUGCUGUUGUUAUUAAGUGUCUGGCUUUUUUUUAAAAUCGAAUUUUCCUGUGUCUUAGAUCUUCUGGACUCUCUACGACACUUGCCUUUGGCUUCAGCUUCUCGUCUUGGAUAAUUAUCUCACUCUGGAAAUCUCUCUGAGCCUCACCUGCCUGCCCUCCAGCCAUCACACAAUAUCGGAUCCUGCAGAACUCAGGUCAGCCAGUCUGCACCAUCGAACACAUCGCCUUUCCCUCAAAGCCUGUUUCACUCCAGCUACAAGUAAGUACGACCUCUAGCCGUACCUGUCACGCUCCAGUCGCUCCUCCAAGUCCCAUUCCCAUCUAGGUCCAGGACCUCGGCACCACGCCACACGCCAUGGAUGCAUGUCAUUUCUCCUGGUGCCCAGUACUGUUAAGUCUAACCUGUGGUAGUUUAAAACAUUUUGCCAUCUCUGCCUUGGGUUUCUGCGUUUGAGUCCAGUUCUGGUACCAGCUUUCGGGCCAUUGUGACAUAGAAUUUAAAUACCUGAUGAGCUGAUGAACAUGUUGAUGACCUGCAGGUACCUUUUAUUCUCCUCUCCAUUCUAUAACAGGUUUUAUGCAUUUCUACCAGAAGGAAAAUACAGCAUGGUUAGCAUUGAUACCUCAAAGGACAGAAUCUUAAUCAAGGAUGUUACUUCCUGGUUGAAUCGAAACAAAACAAAACUGGAUGGUAUCAAAAAGCUGACACCAGCACGCCACCACGCUGCUGAUCCAUAAAUUGAGGAUCAAAAAUUCAAUGAUGACAUAUGCAGCCUGGAUUCUGUUUCAUGGAUAGUACCCCAACGUCUGCUACAUAAAUUUAUGUAAUAUCUGGUUCUUAAAUAGCGUGAAGGUAAAGCUUGUCCUGCACCAGCUCAGCUGUGACUGAGGUUAUCUGGAGACAGACAGGGCAUCAACAAAAUCAGUAUAAUUCAUCUUUAGGAGACUUUCUGGACCACAUUUUAUGGUAAACCACUGUUAAGAUAUGGUUCGCUGGUUUGUCUAAAAACUGAACAAAAAACACUGGCAGCUGCUAUUGCUACCCCUAAGCCUCCUGGUAGAUGUGCCUAGGGUAUGAAUUUGGAAAUCCUAGGUGACAUCUUUCUUGAGGU